rnacentral:rRNA from 1 species
UAUUAAAGUUGUUGCAGUUAAAAAGCUCGUAGUUGAAUUUCGGGAUUGGCGCAUCGGUCGUGCCUCACGGGGUGUGAACUGGUGCAGUCAAUUUCUCACCUUCUGGAGAACCGCGAUGUCCUUAAUUGGAUGCCGCGGGGAACCAGGACCUUUACUUUGAAAAAAUUAGAGCGUUUAAAGCAGGCAUUUUUGCUUGAAUACAUUAGCAUGGAAUAAUAAAAUAGGACGGCAUGGUUCUAUUUUGUUGGUUUCUAGGACCACCGUAAUGAUUAAUAGGGAUAGUUGGGGGCAUUAGUAUUCAAUUGUCAGAGGUGAAAUUCUUGGAUUUAUUGAAGACUAACUACUGCGAAAGCAUUUGCCAAGGAUGUUUCCAUUAAUCAAGAACGAAAGUUAGGGGAUCGAAGACGAUCAGAUACCGUCGUAGUCUUAACCAUAAACUAUGCCGACUAGGAAUCAGACGAUGUUAAUUUUUUAAUGACUCGUUUGGCAC